rnacentral:rRNA from 1 species
AUUGAACGCUGGCGGCAGGCCUAACACAUGCAAGUCGAGCGGAUGAAGGGAGCUUGCUCCUGGAUGCAGCGGCGGACGGGUGAGUAAUGCCUAGGAAUCUGCCUGGUAGUGGGGGAUAACGUCCGGAAACGGGCGCUAAUACCGCAUACGUCCUGAGGGAGAAAGUGGGGGAUCUUCGGACCUCACGCUAUCAGAUGAGCCUAGGUCGGAUUAGCUAGUUGGUGGGGUAAAGGCCUACCAAGGCGACGAUCCGUAACUGGUCUGAGAGGAUGAUCAGUCACACUGGAACUGAGAAACGGUACAGACUCCUACGGGAGGACGCAGUGGGGAAUAUUGGACAAUGGACGAAAGCCUGAUCCAGCCAUGCCGCGUGUGUGAAGAAGGUCUUCGGAUUGUAAAGCACUUUAGGUUGGGAGGAAGGGCAGUAAGUUAAUACCUUGCUGUUUUGACGGUACCAACAGAAUAAGCACCGGCUAACUUCGUG